rnacentral:tRNA from 1 species
GCUUCGUUACUACAGUUGGUAGAGCGUUAGACUUUUAAUCUAACGGUCAGGGGUUCGAAUUCCCUGCGGGGUU